rnacentral:rRNA from 1 species
UACAGAGGGUGCGAGCGUUAAUCGGAAUUACUGGGCGUAAAGCGCGCGUAGACGGUUUGGUAAGUCAGAUGUGAAAUCCCCGGGCUCAACCUGGGAACUGCAUUUGAUACUGCCUGGCUAGAGUAUGGAAGAGGGAAGUGGAAUUUCCGGUGGAGCGGUGAAAUGCGUAGAUAUCGGAAAGAACACCAAGGGCGAAGGCACUCUGCUGGGCCGAAACUGACACUGAGAGACGAGAGCUAGGGGAGCAAAUGGG